UGGGGAAUAUUGGACAAUGGGCGAAAGCCUGAUCCAGCCAUGCCGCGUGUGUGAAGAAGGCCUUUUGGUUGUAAAGCACUUUAAGUGGGGAGGAAAAGCUUAUGGUUAAUACCCAUAAGCCCUGACGUUACCCACAGAAUAAGCACCGGCUAACUCUGUGCCAGCAGCCGCGGUAAUACAGAGGGUGCAGGCGUUAAUCGGAAUUACUGGGCGUAAAGCGCGCGUAGGUGGUUAUUUAAGUCAGAUGUGAAAGCCCCGGGCUUAACCUGGGAACUGCAUCUGAUACUGGAUAACUAGAGUAGGUGAGAGGGGAGUAGAAUUCCAGGUGUAGCGGUGAAAUGCGUAGAGAUCUGGAGGAAUACCGAUGGCGAAGGCAGCUCCCUGGCAUCAUACUGACACUGAGGUGCGAAAGCGUGGGUAGCAAACAGGAUUAGAUACCCUGGUAGUCCACGCCGUAAACGAUGUCUACCAGUCGUUGGGUCUUUUAAAGACUUAGUGACGCAGUUAACGCAAUAAGUAGACCGCCUGGGGAGUACGGCCGCAAGGUUA
rnacentral:rRNA from 1 species